UGUUAAAAAUUUCAUCUAUUUUUACUAUUAAAAAUUGGUAUGGUUGAUAAAAUAAACAAAAAAUGACACAUGUUGUGUCACGGGUAUCUCAUGCUGAUGUACAUGGACCAACUUUUAACAAUAAAAAUGAAUGUACUUUUUAAUA
rfam:Gossypium arboreum cultivar AKA8401 contig_38033_1, whole genome shotgun sequence.